rnacentral:rRNA from 1 species
UACGAAGGGGGCUAGCGUUGCUCGGAAUCACUGGGCGUAAAGCGCACGUAGGCGGCUUUUUUAAGUCAGGGGGUGAAAUCCUGGAGCCUCAACUCCAGAACUGCCUUUGAUACUGAGAAGCUUGAGUCCGGGAGAGGUGAGUGGAACUGCGAGUGUUAGAGGUGAAAUUCGUAGAGUAUUCGCAAGAACACCAGUGGGCGAA